GAGAUGAGGAGAGAGGUGGAGAGAGAGAGAUGAGGAGAGGUGGAGAGAGAGAUGAGGAGAGAGGUGGAGAGAGAGAUGAGGAGAGAGGUGGAGAGAGAGAUGAGGAGAGAGGUGGAGAGAGAUAUGAGGAGAGAGGUGGAGAGAGAGAUGAGGAGAGAGGUGGAGAGAGAGAUGAGGAGAGAGAGAGAUGAGGAGAGA